rnacentral:misc_RNA from 1 species
AAGAGUUGCAGAAACUCCACAAACCAUCGCGAACGUUACCACACAUAAGUUGCUUUCGGCCGCGCACGCUUCCCGGGUCACACCGUGGGCGGCCGCCGGAGUGGCCGUAUACAAACUCUUAUUAUAAACCAGUUACAUCUGAGUACUAUACUUAAUAAGUAAAU